rnacentral:rRNA from 1 species
GAGUGAACGCUGGCGGUAGGCCUAACACAUGCAAGUCGAACGGCAGCACAGUAAGAGCUUGCUCUUACGGGUGGCGAGUGGCGGACGGGUGAGGAAUACAUCGGAAUCUACUUUUUCGUGGGGGAUAACGUAGGGAAACUUACGCUAAUACCGCAUACGACCUACGGGUGAAAGCAGGGGAUCUUCGGACCUUGCGCGAUUGAAUGAGCCGAUGUCGGAUUAGCUAGUUGGCGGGGUAAAGGCCCACCAAGGCGACGAUCCGUAGCUGGUCUGAGAGGAUGAUCAGCCACACUGGAACUGAGACACGGUCCAGACUCCUACGGGAGGCAGCAGUGGGGAAUAUUGGACAAUGGGCGCAAGCCUGAUCCAGCCAUACCGCGUGGGUGAAGAAGGCCUUCGGGUUAUAAAGCCCUUUUGUUGGGAAAGAAAAGCAGCAGGUUAAUACCCCGCUGUUCUGACGGUACCCAAAGAAUAAGCACCGGCUAACUUCGUG